GACCACUCACCAACCCACCAAGGAAUUAAAGUUUGGGACAAAACAAAAAUAUCAUCUCUCCAUUGAAGCGAUUUUUCUUCUUAUAAUUUUGGUUGAAGAUCCAUAUGCAUAGGAACUCGAAGCAAGAACAAGAUGCUAAUCCUGGUGAUAGGAAUCGCGACAAUCGUACUACUUCUUUCCAUACUAUGUAUUAUAUGGACCGUACGACAAUGUAUAAAAGGUGAAGAAAGGGAUGAAAGUAGGCGUGAGAAAGAUGAAGAACGAAGCUUAGUGGAUGAGGAUGAGGAGUCAAGUGCUCAAAAGACUGAGCCCUCCUCCUUCGGAUUCAGACCACAAGCUCUCGCAUGGAGUGUUGGCGAUACCAUUACCGAUGAUAAGAACAGAAAAUCUGCAAAGAAGGAGAAACUCCGAUGUGGGUACAUCGUAUCAAGGCCUUUCAGCAUGCAAGACUCGCCGGUAUCCGACAGUGAUUCCGAAUCCCAAGGGCCGUGAUUUUUUAUUUUAUUUAUUCAAUUUAUUUGGUUUCUAAUCUGGCAAGUGAUGUAGAUGUCGAACUUCUACUAAGAACAAUGUUAUGUUUUGAGUCUUAUUCUC